AAUCCCGUUAAACAAAGACGUCCUGAAAUGCUCCAACAACAACAAAGGAUUUAAGCUGGAUGUGUCAAAACUUCACAAUAACUUCGAAGCUGGAGUUGGACAGUUCUGUUUGAUGGCUUCCUGGAGGGAGGAAUUGGCUGAGCUAAUGCUGCUAACAACUUUUCUCCUAUUAACUUUUUUGCUUUUCUAUAGAAAGUAUUUCUAUCAGUUGCUCUUUUUCCAUUUUGCAUACAGUAUUUGCUCUAUUUUUUUAUUUUCACCUUAAUGCUUACUUGGUCA